CGGGAAGCCAUAGAGCGUCAUAAGGCAUGACCCUAUCCCAGCGCUGCUAGAGGACCCCUAUUUGUGACCAAUUGUAAGAUCAUCUGAAGAUCGAGUCCGAUUGCCUGGCCAGGCCGGGCUGGGUGGUAUGUGCCCCCGUCACGCCGGAGGUUCCUGCUUUAGCGACGCCAAAGAUUGGGUGUGAGGGCAGCCCGCGGUGACAGAGACACGGAUCGGACCGAGAGAAAAAGGCUGUGGGCUUCACUGAGCAGAGUGACGAAUUUCAACCCUUCUUGCUACAUUCAAGACAUAGAAAUCCAGCCAGAAGACAACUCGAGAUAUUUUGUGGAUCUAUGCCUUUCCUUCAGAAAAGCAAAUAUCUACCAUAAAAAAACACUGGUCCAAUAUUCACUUCUAUAAGAAAUGCAGGGGCAAAUAAAUUAUGGAUUUUAUUAUCGCUAAUAGAGUCACUUAACCAUUACUCCUUACUACAUUCUGCUUUUCUAACAAAAUUUCGACUGAAUAUUCUCCCUCAGAGCCUCCAAAAGGAACCAACUGAUGACAACUGAUUUUGGACUUCUGGCCUCCUGAACUAUAAC
rnacentral:lncRNA from 1 species